GGCCGUUCCGAUCGCCUGCGCAAUGAACGCGCCGCCCAUGAUCGCCACAUGCAUGAUCACGAUGCGCUUGUAGAACUCGCCCAUGAUCUCGCCGGUGUCGGCGUUGGUCAGCGGCACCUUGGCGAACACGAAGCGGUUGGUCGUUGAUGAAGAUCGCGCCCUGUCCCGCGAACAGCGCGAGCAGCGGAAUCCAGAGGUCCUUGCCGAUCACAAUCAGGCGGAUGAAAUCGCGUGCGUCGUGAAUGCGUCCGGCCCAUGGGCCUGCGAACAGCGCGUAGAUGAACAGCAUGUGCACCGACAUGAACAGCCCGGCAUGCACGGUGAAGAACCCCGCCAGGGCGAGUGUGCCGGCGAUGCCGCGGCCUGCCG
rnacentral:misc_RNA from 1 species